rnacentral:rRNA from 1 species
AUGGAGCAACCGAGUUCCAGUCGAUAUGGUAUUGAUGAGGUCACUUAUCCUGCACCUAUUACUGAACCUUCACGGUCAUUAGAUUACCUUCCUACGAGAGUAGCUUGUACACUAUCACAGGGAUCUAAUGUAACUAGCAUGGACUUUCAUCCUUCCCAUCAUACACUACUACUAGUUGGAUCUGCUAAUGGUGAAUUUACACUUUGGGAGAUCGGUAUGCACGAGAGGCUGGUCUCAAAGCCCUUCAAAGUCUGGGACAUGCAAGCAUGUUCAGCACAAUAUCAGAGUGUCAUGGCUAAAGACUCUUCCGUGGCCGUUAGUCGAGUUACAUGGAGCCCUUAUGGAGACUUGAUUGAAGUUGCAUUUACGAAACAUUUGAUCCAUCUGCAUGCAUAUCAGCAUCCAAAUGAAACACGCCAAGUUGUAGAGAUUGAGGCUCAUUCUGGAGGAGUUAAUGACAUAGCUUUCUCCCGGCCAAAUAAGCAACUUUGUGUUGUCACUUGUGGAGAUGACAAGCUGAUAAGGGUCUGGGAUAUGCAUGGACAGAAAUUAUAUUCAUUUGAAGGGCAUGAGGCACCUGUGUAUUCUAUUUUCCCUCAUCAUAUGGACGCUAUUCAUUUUAUUUUCUCAAUUUCCUUUGAUGGGAAAAUUAAGGCAUGGCUUUAUGACAAUAUGAGUUCUAGGGUGGAGUAUGAUGCUCCAGGAAAAUGGUGUACUGCAAUGCUCUAUAGUACCGACGGAACUAGGUUGUUCUCAUGUGGAACAAGCAAAGAGGGAGACUCGCAUUUGGUUGAGUGGAAGCAAAGUGAAGGAUCUAUCGAAAGGACAUAUUCUGGAUUCCGUAAAACAUCAUCUGUAGUGCAUGGUGUCGUGCAGUUUGAUACAGCUCAUAAUCGCAUUUUAGCUGCUGGUGAAGAGAACCAAAUUAAGUUUUGGGAUGUUGAUAACACCAACAUGCUUACCUGCAUUGAAGCCGAUGGAGGCUUGCCAAGAUUUCCACGGUUAAGGUUCAACAAAGAAGGCAAUCUUCUUGCUGUUACUACAUUAGAGAAUGGCUUUAAGAUACUUGCAAAUACUGAUGGGCUCAGAUCUUUACUAGCUUUUGGUAGACAACCUUUUAAUGUGUUUCAUGUGGCUACAAUGCCAGAAACUCGAGACCAAGCCAGAAAGGUUCAAUCCAUUUUUCCUGAGGAGUCAGCCCCAUGCAUUGCACUCUCCACGAAUGAUUCUAAUGUGAUAGCUGCAUGUGGUGGAAAAUUAUCCAAAGUCCUCGACGAUGAUGACCUUCUUAGGGAGAUCAUCGUACGUGUCGGCUUCUCCACCACUCUCGUCCGUGCUGCUCUCGUCUGCAAGCGAUGGUACCAGCAUGCCUCCGAACCCGCCUUCCUCUGUUGUUUCCGUGAGCGCCACCGGUCCCGCCUCCUCGGCUUCUACCUUGUGGACAAGGAGGGUAGUAAAGUGGCUUCCAUUCGCUUCUUCCCAAUGCUACCUCAGCCCCCAGAGCUUGCAGUCGUCAUCCACCGUGUGGUGAGCUACAGUUUAGAGUCCUACCGCGGUGCGCCAGCCAAAUUCCUCUGCUCCCAGAGCAGCAGAGUCCUCAUCAGCUUGUACAACCAGAACAAUCGCAACAAAUUUACAGUUGGGGUGCACAAUCCUUUGUGUCCUGAGAGAGGCCUGGUUGUCGUCCCACCAUGCCCACACGUCCAAAUCCAGGAUGUCUAUUACCGCAAUCUCCUCUCGGUAGGUGAAGUCGAUGGCUUGUCCUACUUGCAUGUGUCGGUGGUGUCUAACAUACAGUUAACAACAUCAACGGUGCACGUACAUAUGCUGCGACAUGGUGAUGGUGUGUGGUGCAUGUAUCAUACCUUGGACACAGACCAGCUCCUUGAUCUGCGACAAGAACCAAAAGCUGUGUUUGCUGACAAUAAAAUCUACAUAGCAAGCGCCCAGAAGGACAUUGUUGUCUUGGAUUUGAAUGCCUCGAGCAUCUCCACAGUUCAGCUCCCACAAGGGGUGGAGUAUGGUGAUAGAGAUAUCAUGUUGGCAAAGGCUGAUGAUGCUUCUGGUGUGUAUGUUAUCCAUGUCAAGAAGAUUCAACUUCACAUUUGGCUGCACAAGGGGGGCAACUGGUUGCUGAUCGACACCAUUUGUUUGCGUGACAUGGUUGCUAAUUUGAGGAUCCCAGGUUGCGAGGUUGAGGAUGAGCACAAUGCUCCUCUCCAGAUACACCAUGUAGGUGACUAUGCUGAGUUUGUGUUCUUGGAGAUGGGUCGAUGCACACUCCACUUAGAUGUCAAGUCAAUGCAGUUGCAUAAAGUGUAUGACAUGACAGAAGAAGAACUGCAAUUGGGUGACAUCCAUCCUCUCAUGAUGAUCUGGCCUCCCACAUUUCCUGUGGUCAAGGAUAAUCUCAAUGCCAUGUGA